rnacentral:lncRNA from 1 species
AUUACAAUAGCAGAAUGCUCUCUAAGACACUGAGUCAGGAGGCAAGUGACAGAAAAAGAGAUGACAGACAGAAGAUGGAAGAAAGAUGGGGCCAAUGAGAGACCGGUGGUGAAUGGUGGGGGUCUCCUGGUCAAAGAAUUGCUGGGGGAAGAUUCUCAACCAGGAAGGCAAACAACUUAAAAUAGCUCCAGGAAGUCUUUCAAACUGACCAGUUUACUGGACCUCCUCUAAGCAAUAAAAGCAGCAAAGGAGAUUCUGAGACAAGACCAGAUGCUUGGAAGAAGCAAAAGCCAGCCCAGCUGCCUGGAAAGGUUUAGAUCAACUGAGUCAUCGGGAAAGAAUAUGAUCUAACGUGUUUAGGUGCCUCCGACUGUGCAGUGUGCUCAUUUCCGCUCCUGCCUUGGGAGAAGAACACUGCUGUCAGCCUUCUUGGGUCGCAUGCCUUGUAAGCAAGACACAGUGAGGUUCUGAGCCUACUUUUAUGUGAGGCAGAAGGAACAGUGAGUUCGUGUCUUGGCUGACAUCUGCCUUUGUUGCCUACCCGCCCAUCUAUGACCCUCCUAGAAAGACUAGAAGAAUUCAAAUUAAGAGAAAUUCUUGAAGAAAAAUUUCUGUUGUUAUAGAACGGUUGAAUAGAUAUAUCUGGGCAAGCAUCACUGAUGGAGAUCCUGGGACCAGACCAUUCUCUGCUGUGCUUCCUGGUUGCCAGGAAAUGAAGCUUGUCUCAUCACACACUCUCUGCCUCACUGCCGCUCAGCAGCCAUGGACUAAAACUGAACUAAAUCAAACCUUUCUGACUUUUCAGUGUUUCUCUCGGGUGUUUUAUCAUACUAAUGAAACAUUUCCAACCACUAGAGGAGGCAUGCGGGCCUGCCACCACCUGGGAACACUGCUGUUACUGCCCUGUACUGAGUUCAGUGCAUUUAACUGCCAAAUGGAAGGAGCAGUCUACCGAAAAUAUAAAAUGCUAUUGGAUCCGGCCUUCACGGAACACUCUAGAAUGAUCUGAAACAAUGGAAUAAGACCUCAUAGUUCUAAGUGAAGUCAUAAUGUUCUGCUAUCAUGUGAGCGAUGUGAGCAGAGUUAUGGGUGACCAUUCCUGGGACUGUGCAGAUGGGCUGAAAGCCUGCCCAAGCACCUUUCCUCCCACCCUUUCUCUGCUUCCCACCUUCUGUGUAUGUCGGGAUGUGAUACUUUUUGCACAGUGGCGUAGGAUGAACACACAGCAUUAUGCUACACUGACAGAAACCCGAUGUCUGCGGCUGGAACUUCAAGAGGAAAGAUGAAAUAAACAUCUGUUGAGUCUGCCACAAGGACCUUGUCAUAUGUGGUGAAGGGAGUGUAGGUGACUGAGUGGUGGAAUCAGGCUUCAUCCAUUUGUCAAGAGGAAAAGGGAAGAAGGCAUAGU